ensembl:lncRNA
AUUAAUGAUUUCUAGGGUAGCAUACAGUUUGAUUCCUAUGUUUUGAGAGUAUUAAACAAAUGGAGGCAUCUGUAACCUAGGAAAGAGACUAUCUCAUGUGGAAGACAGAGUGUGCAACACAACAGGAAAGACAUAGGGAUGCUUCCAUGUGGUGGGUGUAUCACCAGCUUGAAGGCACUUUGCUCAUAGGAAAACCCUGAGAACAGACACAUGGAGUCAGAAAGAGUUAAGCAAUACAUGUAGAUGAAAGUCAUGGAGAAACUUUAUUUCAGGUAGAGGCAAGGAAGAAUAGGGAAGUGAACAGUCAAAAAUUCAGAAAUACUGUAAGAAACGUCAGGCACUUUUUCUUUCUUUUUAUUACUUAAGGGAAACUGUAUUUAGUUUUCUCUUUAAAACAAUCUGGUCUAAAAACGAGUUGAAGUUAAGAGAGAAGAGCACGAAUCUUCUAACAAAGUCAGACAUAGACCGCAAGGCAGAAUGGGCACUUGUCAGGAACUUCCAUGUCGGAUCUUGUCCAUCUUGGAACCGAGGUCAUCGCAGAUUCUGGUCAGUUCAUUGUUUCUUUAAGUCUUCUGCUCAGUGGCCUUCUCCAGCAAGGGGAUGUGCACCUACCUGCUUCUUCCUUAGGCUCGUCUGGAAGGCCACUAACCUUACUCCGUAUGUGGUUGAUCUUCCCAUCUUUCGGCUUGCAUUUCUUUUCUGCAUGGGCCUUCAGUGCUUGCUAUCUUUGGCCUUCCUUUCCAACUGUUACUAUGCAAUCAACGUGCUUCUUCAGCGAUCCUUCAUUGGUUAGGAAGCAUUCAUUAGUAGCCUUUGAUCAACUUUUUUAGUGGCUCAGCUUUGAGAGGUCAGAGAAAAUGGAAAAAUCUUCCAUGGAGUUCAGGUCUGUUGCAAAUUGGUCUUUUUCUUUCCGAACCUUCUGGAUCUCAGCUUUGGCAGGUUGCUUCUGUCUCUGGGCCUCCUUCCUCGCCCCGUACACAAUCCCCUCAAACCCAUCCACGAUCUUUCCCAUCUGCAGGCGCUUUAUGCAGAGCGCAUCGUGCUCUUCAGCACCAGGCUCUCCUUUUGUGUCACUUCCGGGCUGCGUCCUGGUUCCUGGGGUGUACGGCAGCACGUCCACGAUGGGCGGCAAGGGCAGCGGCACAGAAAUCCACCGGUGGUCCCAGAAAACCAGCUUCCUCCCCACCAGCCUCAGGCGGACUUCCCAGGAAGGUGCAGCCCGAAACUCGUGCACUUCUCGUCUCAGGGGAGCACACGCGAGUCUCUGAGGGCUGCCCUUUGGGAGCAGGUGAACUUGAGGGAAGUGGGCUGUUUCUGCAGGCCGACUUUCCAAACAGGAAAUCCUAAACCGCUCCACCCCGGCGGUGUACCUAGAACCUCAGCUUGUCCCGGAAGUACUCCCGCCCUCUGGUCCCAGGCAGCCGCGGGCAGGCUGAGCGGAAGCGGCGCGGAGGCAGGGGACCAGGCGGUGGGCCCCCUGAUCCGCCUGCGGGUGGGAGCCCAAGUGCGCGAAGAAGCCGCGGUUCCCUCCUCGCCCGUCGCCCCUUCGGCCCCUGCGGGGGCUGUACCCCAGGCGUGCCAUCCGCCGAGGCUGAAAGCACCUGCCUGCUCGGAGGUAUCUAGUGAGAGAAAGUGUGAAGGAUUUACAGGAGACAUUCCCACCUGAAUCUUGAGUGAAUAAAAAUGUUCUCAGUCGAAGAAAAAAUGUUCUGGCAAGCUGCCAUCUAGUGAAACAGCUGCUUUUGGCUCUGGGAACCUGUGAGUGGGACUGGGCACUAAACAUGGCAUGUACCACCUCUAGAACUUGAACACUGCUUUUACUAUCAGUAGGUCAAAUGGGUUUUAAUUGAGGCAAACUAAGUUAAAUGUCUUUGUUUGUUUGUUUGUUUUUACAUUCCUUAUCUUUGUAAGGAAUCAUUGCUCCAUUUGACACUGUUGACCCAGCUCUCCUUAAAAUUAUUUUUCUUUGGCUUUUUAUAGCUUUACUCCUGCCCGACUUACUGAUGUUUAUUUUUGUGGGUUCUCCUAACCAGUUCUCCUUAAAAUGUGCUGUUCUUUGUAUUUUUAUCCUUCUUCUUUGGUCGUUUAUAUAGCUUCAUCCUCUAUACUUUAAUCCAGUGGUUCUCAAACUUAAAGCUAGUGGCUUUCAAAUUUGGCUGCAUAUCAGAAUCAUUUUUGAGACUUUCUUGAUACUAAGAUGUCUGUGCUACUGCUCUGAAAAUUCUGAGUCAAUUUUUUUAAAGGUAGGGACCAACAUCUAUUUUUUUUUAAUUGCUUCACAGAUGCUUCUUAAUGAACUUUAGGUUUGAAAAUCCCUACCUUCAUGAAUUACCUAUACUCCCAGCCAAAUAGGCUAAUGAUUUCUCAGUCUUUAUUUUGAUCCCCGGCUGCAUAUGGAGCUUCAUACUUCAAAUCUCCUAAGAAACAUUUUCACAUUAAUUAUACACAGAUAUUUCAAGUUCUGUAUACUUAAUCAAACCAAUUACUCAACCCCAUCUCUUCCUUCACAGUCUACCUCUUCUUUUUCUCUUACUUCUGAUAAUGCCAACUUUUGGAACAGGGGCAAACCUUAUUUAUCCUCAGCGUCUUGCUUUCCUCAUUCUUACCCUUUCCAUCAAUCUUCAUUACAUACCUGUGGUGGUUAAUUUUACGUGAGUCAUGGUGCCCAGGUAUGUGGUCAAACAUUAU